GACGAACGCUGGCGGCGUGCUUAACACAUGCAAGUCGAACGGAAAGGCCCUGCUUUUGUGGGGUGCUCGAGUGGCGAGCGGGUGAGUAACACGUGAGUAACCUGCCCUUGACUUUGGGAUAACUUCAGGAAACUGGGGCUAAUACCGGAUAGGAGCUCCUGCUGCGUGGGGGGGGUUGGAAAGUUUCGGCGGUUGGGGAUGGACUCGCGGCUUAUCAGCUUAUUGGUGGGGUAGUGGCUUACCAAGGCUUUGACGGGUAGCCGGCCUGAGAGGGUGACCGGCCACAUUGGGACUGAGAUACGGCCCAGACUCCUACGGGAGGCAGCAGUGGGGAAUAUUGCACAAUGGGCGGAAGCCUGAUGCAGCAACGCCGCGUGCGGGAUGACGGCCUUCGGGUUGUAAACCGCUUUCGCCUGUGACGAAGCGUGAGUGACGGUAAUGGGUAAAGAAGCACCGGCUAACUACGUG
rnacentral:rRNA from 1 species